AGAGUUUGAUCAUGGCUCAGAAUCAACGCUGGCGGCGCGCCUAACACAUGCAAGUCGAACGAGAAAGCGGGGGCAACCUCGUGAGUAAAGUGGCGUACGGGUGAGUAACACGUGGAUCAUCUACCUCUUUGUGGGGGAUAACCCUGGGAAACCGGGGCUAAUACCGCAUAAGUCCGAGAGGAGAAAGCAGCAAUGCGCAGAGAGAGGAGUCCGCGGCCGAUUAGCUAGUUGGUAGGGUAAAAGCCUACCAAGGCGACGAUCGGUAGCCGGCCUGAGAGGGCACACGGCCACACUGGCACUGAAACACGGGCCAGACUCCUACGGGAGGCAGCAGUGGGGAAUCUUGCACAAUGGGGGAAACCCUGAUGCAGCGACGCCGCGUGAGCGAUGAAGCCCUUCGGGGUGUAAAGCUCUUUCGGCAGGGAAGAUUAUGACGGUACCUGCAGAAGCAGCUGCGGCUAACUACGUGCCAGCAGCCGCGGUAAUACGUAGGCAGCAAGCGUUGUUCGGAGUUACUGGGCGUAAAGGGUGUGUAGGCGGUCCUCUAAGUUUGGUGUGAAAUCUCCCGGCUCAACUGGGAGGGUGCGCCGAAAACUGGAGGGCUAGAGUACUGGAUGGGAGAGUGGAAUUUCUGGUGUAGCGGUGAAAUGCGUAGAUAUCAGGAGGAACACCUGUGGUGUAGACGGCUCUCUGGACAGUAACUGACGCUGAGACACGAAAGCGUGGGUAGCAAACAGGAUUAGAUACCCUAGUAGUCC
rnacentral:rRNA from 1 species